rnacentral:rRNA from 1 species
GAUGAACGCUGGCGGCGUGCCUAAUACAUGCAAGUCGAGCGAAUGGAUUAAGAGCUUGCUCUUAUGAAGUUAGCGGCGGACGGGUGAGUAACACGUGGGUAACCUGCCCAUAAGACUGGGAUAACUCCGGGAAACCGGGGCUAAUACCGGAUAACAUUUUGAACCGCAUGGUUCGAAAUUGAAAGGCGGCUUCGGCUGUCACUUAUGGAUGGACCCGCGUCGCAUUAGCUAGUUGGUGAGGUAACGGCUCACCAAGGCAACGAUGCGUAGCCGACCUGAGAGGGUGAUCGGCCACACUGGGACUGAGACACGGCCCAGACUCCCACGGGAGGCAGCAGUAGGGAAUCUUCCGCAAUGGACGAAAGUCUGACGGAGCAACGCCGCGUGAGCGAUGAAGGCUUUCGGGUCGUAAAACUCUGUUGUUAGGGAAGAACAAGUGCUAGUUGAAUAAGCAGGCACCUUGACGGUACCUAACCAGAAAGCCACGGCUAACUACGUGCCAGCAGCCGCAGUAA